rnacentral:rRNA from 1 species
AGGGUUUGAUUCUGGCUCAGGAUGAACGCUGGCGGCGUGCUUAACACAUGCAAGUCGAGCGAAGCACUUAUCAAUGACUCUUCGGAAGAAUUGAUAUUUGACUGAGCGGCGGACGGGUGAGUAACGCGUGGGUAACCUGCCUCAUACAGGGGAAUAACAGUUAGAAAUGGCUGCUAAUGCCGCAUAAGCGCACAGUACCGCAUGGUACAGUGUGAAAAACUCCGGUGGUAUGAGAUGGACCCGCGUCUGAUUAGGUAGUUGGUGAGGUAACGGCCCACCAAGCCGACGAUCAGUAGCCGGCCUGAGAGGGUGGACGGCCACAUUGGGACUGAGACACGGCCCAG